UCACCGCUUAUUUAAUUGCAACAAAUGUAAUCGUGGGCUGCAAGAGGAGCCAAAAUGAAAAUUUAUAUAUUUUUGUUAUAUUUGAUUUAUUAUAACAAUGCAGCCCGGGCAUUAUACGUUAAUCGAAAUAGUGAAGAAAGAAACGGUAGCGAAGAAAAAACAA